rnacentral:rRNA from 1 species
UACGUAGGGGGCUAGCGUUAUCCGGAUUUACUGGGCGUAAAGGGUGCGUAGGCGGUCUUUCAAGUCAGGAGUGAAAGGCUACGGCUCAACCGUAGUAAGCUCUUGAAACUGUAAGACUUGAGUGCAGGAGAGGAGAGUGGAAUUCCUAGUGUAGCGGUGAAAUGCGUAGAUAUUAGGAGGAACACCAGUUGCGAAGGCGGCUUUCUGGUCUGUUAUUGACGCUGAGGCUCGAAAGCAUGGGUAGCAAACAGGAUUAGAUACCCGUGUAGU